rnacentral:rRNA from 1 species
CACGUAGGGCGCAAGCGUUAUCCGGAAUUAUUGGGCGUAAAGAGCUCGUAGGCGGCUUGUCGCGUCGGAUGUGAAAGCCCGGGGCUUAACUCCGGGUCUGCAUUCGAUACGGGCAGGCUAGAGUUCGGUAGGGGAGAUCGGAAUUCCUGGUGUAGCGGUGAAAUGCGCAGAUAUCAGGAGGAACACCGGUGGCGAAGGCGGAUCUCUGGGCCGAUACUGACGCUGAGGAGCGAAAGCGUGGGGAGCGAACAGG